GAUGAACGCUGGCGGCGUGCCUAAUACAUGCAAGUCGAGCGAACGGACGAGGAGCUUGCUUUUCUGAUGUUAGCGGCGGACGGGUGAGUAACACGUGGAUAACCUACCUAUAAGACUGGGAUAACUUCGGGAAACCGGAGCUAAUACCGGAUAAUAUUUUGAACCGCAUGGUUCAAAAGUGAAAGACGGUCUUGCUGUCACUUAUAGAUGGAUCCGCGCUGCAUUAGCUAGUUGGUAAGGUAACGGCUUACCAAGGCAACGAUGCAUAGCCGACCUGAGAGGGUGAUCGGCCACACUGGAACUGAGACACGGUCCAGACUCCUAAGGGAGGCAGCAGUAGGGAAUCUUCCGCAAUGGGCGAAAGCCUGACGGAGCAACGCCGCGUGAGUGAUGAAGGUCUUCGGAUCGUAAAACUCUGUUAUUAGGGAAGAACAUAUGUGUAAGUAACUGUGCACAUCUUGACGGUACCUAAUCAGAAAGCCACGGCUAACUACGUG
rnacentral:rRNA from 1 species